CAGAAGAGGACAGUGGAACUCCAUGUGUAGCGGUGAAAUGCGUAGAUAUAUGGAAGAACACCAGUGGCGAAGGCGGCUGUCUGGUCUGUAACUGACGCUGAGGCUCGAAAGUAUGGGUAGCAAACAGGAUUAGAUACCCUGGUAGUCCAUACCGUAAACGAUGAAUGCUAAGUGUUGGAGGGUUUCCGCCCUUCAGCGCUGCAGCUAACGCAUUAAGCAUUCCGCCUGGGGAGUACGGCCGCAAGGCUGAAACUCAAAGGAAUUGACGGGGGCCCGCACAAGCGGUGGAGCAUGUGGUUUAAUUCGAAGCUACGCGAAGAACCUUACCAGGUCUUGACAUACUAUGCAAAUCUAAGAGAUUAGACGUUCCCUUCGGGGACAUGGAUACAGGUGGUGCAUGGUUGUCGUCAGCUCGUGUUGUGAGAUGUUGGGUUAAGUCCCGCAACGAGCGCAACCCUUAUUAUCAGUUGCCGGCAUUAAGUUGGGCACUCUGGUGAGACUGCCGGUGACAAACCGGAGGAAGGUGGGGACGACGUCAAAUCAUCAUGCCCCUUAUGACCUGGGCUACACACGUGCUACAAUGGAUGGUACAACGAGUUGCGAACUCGCGAGAGUAAGCUAAUCUCUUAAAGCCAUUCUCAGUUCGGAUUGUAGGCUGCAACUCGCCUACAUGAAGUCGGAAUCGCUAGUAAUCGCGGAUCAGCAUGCCGCGGUGAAUACGUUCCCGGGCCUUGUACACACCGCCCGUCACACCAUGAGAGUUUGUAACACCCAAAGUCGGUGGGGUAACCUUUUAGGAACCAGCCGCCUAAGGUGGGACAGAUGAUUAGGGUGAAGUCGUAACAAGGUAGCCGUA
rnacentral:rRNA from 1 species